CUUAACACAUGCAAGUCGAGGGGCAGCAUGGUCUUAGCUUGCUAAGGCCGAUGGCGACCGGCGCACGGGUGAGUAACACGUAUCCAACCUGCCGUCUACUCUUGGACAGCCUUCUGAAAGGAAGAUUAAUACAAGAUGGCAUCAUGAGUCCGCAUGUUCACAUGAUUAAAGGUAUUCCGGUAGACGAUGGGGAUGCGUUCCAUUAGAUAGUAGGCGGGGUAACGGCCCACCUAGUCUUCGAUGGAUAGGGGUUCUGAGAGGAAGGUCCCCCACAUUGGAACUGAGACACGGUCCGAACUCCUACGGGAGGCAGCAGUGAGGAAUAUUGGUCAAUGGGCGAGAGCCUGAACCAGCCAAGUAGCGUGAAGGAUGACUGCCCUAUGGGUUGUAAACUUCUUUUAUAAAGGAAUAAAGUCGGGUAUGGAUACCCGUUUGCAUGUACUUUAUGAAUAAGGAUCGGCUAACUCCGUGCCAGCAGCCGCGGUAAUACGGAGGAUCCGAGCGUUAUCCGGAUUUAUUGGGUUUAAAGGGAGCGUAGAUGGAUGUUUAAGUCAGUUGUGAAAGUUUGCGGCUCAACCGUAAAAUUGCAGUUGAUACUGGAUAUCUUGAGUGCAGUUGAGGCAGGCGGAAUUCGUGGUGUAGCGGUGAAAUGCUUAGAUAUCACGAAGAACUCCGAUUGCGAAGGCAGCCUGCUAAGCUGCAACUGACAUUGAGGCUCGAAAGUGUGGGUAUCAAACAGGAUUAGAUACCCUGGUAGUCCACACGGUAAACGAUGAAUACUCGCUGUUUGCGAUAUACUGCAAGCGGCCAAGCGAAAGCGUUAAGUAUUCCACCUGGGGAGUACGCCGGCAACGGUGAAACUCAAAGGAAUUGACGGGGGCCCGCACAAGCGGAGGAACAUGUGGUUUAAUUCGAUGAUACGCGAGGAACCUUACCCGGGCUUAAAUUGCAGAUGAAUUACGGUGAAAGCCGUAAGCCGCAAGGCAUCUGUGAAGGUGCUGCAUGGUUGUCGUCAGCUCGUGCCGUGAGGUGUCGGCUUAAGUGUCAUAACGAGCGCAACCCUUGUUGUCAGUUACUAACAGGUUCCGCUGAGGACUCUGACAAGACUGCCAUCGUAAGAUGUGAGGAAGGUGGGGAUGACGUCAAAUCAGCACGGCCCUUACGUCCGGGGCUACACACGUGUUACAAUGGGGGGUACAGAGGGCCGCUACCACGCGAGUGGAUGCCAAUCCCCAAAACCUCUCUCAGUUCGGACUGGAGUCUGCAACCCGACUCCACGAAGCUGGAUUCGCUAGUAAUCGCGCAUCAGCCACGGCGCGGUGAAUACGUUCCCGGGCCUUGUACACACCGCCCGUCAAGCCAUGGGAGCCGGGGGUACCUGAAGUGCGUAACCGCGAGGAGCGCCCUAGGGUAAAACUGGUGACUGGGGCUAAGUCAUAAC
rnacentral:rRNA from 1 species